CUUAUACNUGCAGUCGUGGGGCAGCGCAGGUAGCAAUACUGGGCGGCGACCGGCAAACGGGUGCGGAACACGUACACAACCUUCCUUCAAGUGGGGAAUAGCCCAGAGAAAUUUGGAUUAAUACCCCGUAACAUAACGAUGUGGCAUCACAUUGUUAUUAUAGCUUCGGCGCUUGUUGAUGGGUGUGCGGCUGAUUAGAUAGUUGGCGGGGUAACGGCCCACCAAGUCUACGAUCAGUAGCUGAUGUGAGAGCAUGAUCAGCCACACGGGCACUGAGACACGGGCCCGACUCCUACGGGAGGCAGCAGUAAGGAAUAUUGGUCAAUGGACGAAAGUCUGAACCAGCCAUGCCGCGUGAAGGAUUAAGGUCCUCUGGAUUGUAAACUUCUUUUAUCUGGGACGAAAAAAGGCGAUUCUUCGUCACUUGACGGUACCAGAUGAAUAAGCACCGGCUAACUCCGUGCCAGCAGCCGCGGUAAUACGGAGGGUGCAAGCGUUAUCCGGAUUCACUGGGUUUAAAGGGUGCGUAGGCGGGCAGGUAAGUCAGUGGUGAAAUCCUAGAGCUUAACUCUAGAACUGCCAUUGAUACUAUCUGUCUUGAAUAUUGUGGAGGUUAGCGGAAUAUGUCAUGUAGCGGUGAAAUGCUUAGAUAUGACAUAGAACACCUAUUGCGAAGGCAGCUAACUACGCAUAUAUUGACGCUGAGGCACGAAAGCGUGGGGAUCAAACAGGAUUAGAUACCCUGGUAGUCCACGCCCUAAACGAUGAUUACUCGACAUUUGUGAUACACUAUAAGUGUCUGAGCGAAAGCAUUAAGUAAUCCACCUGGGAAGUACGACCGCAAGGUUGAAGCUCAAAGGAAUUGGCGGGGGUCCGCACAAGCGGUGGANCAUGUGGUUUAAUUCGAUGAUACGCGAGGAACCUUACCUGGGCUAGAAUGCUGGNNAUNNNGGGUGAAAGCUCACUUUNUAGCAAUA
rnacentral:rRNA from 1 species